rnacentral:tRNA from 1 species
UCUAAUAUGGCAGAAUAGUGCAAUGGACUUAAGCCCCAUAUAUAAAGUCAAUAACUUUUUUUAGAA